GGCGGAUUAGUGGCGAACGGGUGAGUAAUACGUGAGUAACCUGCCCUUGACUCUGGGAUAAGCCUGGGAAACUGGGUCUAAUACUGGAUACUACCUCUUACCGCAUGGUGGGUGGUGGAAAGGGUUUUACUGGUUUUGGAUGGGCUCACGGCCUAUCAGCUUGUUGGUGGGGUAAUGGCUCACCAAGGCGACGACGGGUAGCCGGCCUGAGAGGGUGACCGGCCACACUGGGACUGAGACACGGCCCAGACUCCUACGGGAGGCAGCAGUGGGGAAUAUUGCACAAUGGGCGGAAGCCUGAUGCAGCGACGCCGCGUGAGGGAUGACGGCCUUCGGGUUGUAAACCUCUUUCAGUAGGGAAGAAGCGAGAGUGACGGUACCUGCAGAAGAAGCGCCGGCUAACUACGUGCCAGCAGCCGCGGUAAUACGUAGGGCGCAAGCGUUGUCCGGAAUUAUUGGGCGUAAAGAGCUCGUAGGCGGUUUGUCGCGUCUGCUGUGAAAGCCCGGGGCUCAACCCCGGGUCUGCAGUGGGUACGGGCAGACUAGAGUGCAGUAGGGGAGACUGGAAUUCCUGGUGUAGCGGUGAAAUGCGCAGAUAU
rnacentral:rRNA from 1 species